rnacentral:antisense_RNA from 1 species
CAGAUGCUCAUCUUGCUGGCUGUGUGUCUCCAGUAUCUUCUGGAGAGGGAAAGAAGAAACCAUGUCUAGACAAGGUGCUGGAAAGACCCAGGGAAGACAUAGGUGAGCUAAGAAAGCAGUAGAAACUGGGUAAUUAAAAGUCAGCAUAAUGGCUGGAAACUUGUUCAAGGAGAUGUAAAAAGAAAGAAAAACCAAAAGAGAGACUGUGUAGAUGAACUUUGUCUAUUUACAAUUUUGUCUAAGGCUAAAUCUGUAGGCUGGUCCCACCCCGCAUGUUAUCUAAGUUGUUCAUAUACCAAUACUAAGAGCUACUGAAAUUCUUCCAUAAAAAUGAAAAUCAUUUCCCUUUUGAUUUGCUAGUUUUUCCUCUUGGUAAAUAAAGAUUCACUUUUUAGUAAUAA